GCGUGGCGUCCAAGUACAAUAGGCCGUCAGUGGGACAUCAUAGAGGGUGACAAUCCCGUCCUUGACGCCAACGUACGAGUCCUUUACGAUGCCUAUCUCAGAGAGUCGAGCAGUUUGGGAUUGCUGCUUUAACAUGGGAGGUAGAUUCCUUCUAAAGCUAAAUACAGGCGAGAGACCGAUAGAGAACAAGUACCGCAAGGGAAAGAUGAAACAGAACUCUGUGAAGGGAGUCAAAAGGCGUGAAAUUGUUGCGAGAGAAGCGAUACAAGUCAGCGUAGCUAGGCCCAUCAAGCCUCGCUUUGGACUAGCUUUGCCAGCGGUCUUGUCCUUGGAGACUUGACUUUUCUCUGCCCAGCCCGGUCUGCACGGGUAGCCCUCGAAAGGGGGUCAGUGGCGUAGCUGGUGGAAUGGCUUGGAAUCGACCCGUCUUGAAACACGGACCAAGGAGUCUAACAUGUAUGCGAGUAUAAGGGUGGCAAACCCGUAUGCGCAAUGAAGGUGACUUUCGACGAUUGAGAAUGGCCUGACGACCAGACAAGCAAUAUUAUGUUCCUCGGACGGCCAUUGCCCAAGUUCCGUGGUAGAUCCCACGAACAUGGAGUUGGAGCAUACAUGCUAGGACCCGAAAGAUGGUGAACUAUGCCUGGACAAAGCGAAGCCAAAGGAAACUCUGGUGGAGGCUUGUAGCGAUUCUGACGUGCAAAUCGAUCGUCUGAUCUGGGUAUAGGGGCGAAAGACUAAUCGAACCAUCUCAUAGCUGGUUCCUGCCGAAUGAC
rnacentral:rRNA from 1 species